rnacentral:rRNA from 1 species
CUUUAUAGCCUGCUAUGAAGAAUAAUUAGUGGCAGACGGGUGAGUAAUGCAUAGGAAUCUACCUAGUAGUAUGGGAUAGCCACUAGAAAUGGUGGGUAAUACUGUAUAAUCCCUGCGGGGGAAAGAUUUAUCGCUAUUAGAUGAGCCUAUGUUAGAUUAGCUAGUUGGUAGGGUAAAGGCCUACCAAGGCGAUGAUCUAUAGCUGGUCUGAGAGGAUGAUCAGCCACACUGGAACUGAGAUACGGUCCAGACUCCUACGGGAGGCAGCAGUGGGGAAUAUUGGACAAUGGGCGCAAGCCUGAUCCAGCUAUGCCGCGUGAGUGAGGAAGGCCUUAGGGUUGUAAAACUCUUUCAGUAGGGAAGAUAAUGACGGUACCUACAGAAGAAGUCCCGGCAAACUCAAG